rnacentral:rRNA from 1 species
CGUAGGGAGCAAGCGUUAUCCGGAUUUAUUGGGUGUAAAGGGUGCGUAGACGGGAAGGUAAGUUAGUUGUGAAAUCCCUCGGCUCAACUGAGGAACUGCGACUAAAACUGCUUUUCUUGAGUGCUGGAGAGGAAAGUGGAAUUCCUAGUGUAGCGGUGAAAUGCGUAGAUAUUAGGAGGAACACCAGUGGCGAAGGCGACUUUCUGGACAGUAACUGACGUUGAGGCACGAAAGUGUGGGGAGCAAACAGGAUU